UGCGUAGGCGGAUUGAUAAGUCAGUGGUGAAAACCUUCAGCUUAACUGGAGACUUGACAUUGAUACUGUUAGUCUUGAGUACGGUCAAGGUAGGCGGAAUGUGUAAUGUAGCGGUGAAAUGCUUAGAUAUUACACAGAGCACCGAUUGCGAAGGCAGCUUACUGGGCCAUUACUGACGCUGAGGCACGAAAGCGUGGGGAGCGAACAGGAUUAGAUACCCUGGUAGUCC
rnacentral:rRNA from 1 species